CACUAUUUCCCCUGUGGUGCGCGCCGUAGCUCUACUGUGCGAGUGGAAGGAAGCGAGGCCCGGCAGCGCGGAGGACUCAGCGCGUCGCGUGCUCUUGUGGCUCUGAAGAGUUUCCUGGGUAAGAGAGAACCGUGUGAGCCCGGCCAACAUGAGGAGAUCAAAGCAAGAGGGCUUUCCCGAGAGCUCCUUCUGACCUGUUCCCAGUGAAGCCUGGUCACGCUGCCAAGGAAGGGGCUACCACUGACCCUCCAGCUGGAGCAGGACAGCAGAUGUGAGCGGACACCGCAGAGCCAGCUCAGAGCCAGGGAAAAGCUCCUGCACCAUCACAGCCACUCACUGAACUCCAGUCUCCCUGGACAUCCUUCUGGCAACAGGGUCAAUUUCAGAAGAAACUCAGGCUGGGGCAGCAGCACAGAAGCUGGAUACAACCUGAUGCAGCUCGCAAGAAGCAUCUUAUGAAGUGCCCAAGCUUAUAAAUGCUACUAAUAGUGCCAGACGAGCCACAGCUAUUUUCAAAGAUGUUCUUAAGAAAUACGCACAUUUUCUUGCAAAAGUAAAAACAAACCUCUGGAAGCAGAGGUUAAACUAUGUGAGAUGGGCAGACAAUAAAGCCCCUCUGUAAAAAACAGGCCAGUGGCUUUGAAGGAAAUUUUUACCCUAGAGGUUUCAAAAGAUUGCUUACGUGGAGAGACUUUUGGCAAGUCAGUCUUACUCCCUUCAGAUUUUUUAAAAGCCCAUUCAACAUGGCCACUACCACUGCACAGAAAAGACCAGGUUCAGUUCAGCCAUAUCAGAAGAAAAGAAACAAAAUCAGAAGUGACUGAGCUGAGCUUGAAUUCUUCUAAUUACAUUUGCUGAAUAUAAAA